rnacentral:lncRNA from 1 species
ACCACUGUUCCUGAAACCUGGUCAGAGCGGAAGUAAGGACUGGUGUCAGGAGGGAGCUGCUAGGUGGCAAAGGGAAGAGCCCUCAGGAUAGGUCUGUGAGUGGGAGUGGGAUUAAGAAGGAAAAGCUGGGUGGGUGGUGGAUGAGAGAAGUAGGCAGACAUGUAUUCCUUGGGGAAAGCUGUGUGGGGUGUUGGAGCUAGGAAAGAUUGGAUGGCUGAGCCCUGUGAGAGCCCAGGGAUGUGAUUGGGGGUCUAUUAAUUGGCUCCAAAUUCCAAGGUUCUAUCUGUGAAGCCUGUCCUCAAGGAUGGACAGUUCUCACGCUACAAGGUCCUGUGUGCUCAUCUUUUUUGUGGCCCUACUCUGUGCAGAAAGAGCUCAGGGGCUGGAGUGCUACCACUGCCCAGAUGACCCACGAGAGUCUUCCUGCAAUACCACAACCUGCCCCUUCCCUGAUGGAUUCUGUGUUACUCAGGAGGCAGAAAUUAUUGUGGACUCUCAAAGAAGGAAAGUAAAGAGCCAUCAGUGCCUUUCUUACUGCCCUACUGAUCUUGAAAAUAGCCCGAUCAAGGAUCCUAAGGUCAAGGUGAAGAUUUCCUGUUGCCAGGAAGACCUCUGCAAUGCAGCAGUUCCCACUGAAGGCAGCACCUGGACCAUGGCAGGGGUGCUUCUGUUCAGCCUGAGCUCAGUCCUCCUGCAGACCUUGCUGUGAUGGUCCUUCCAACAACCCUCACCCUUGUCCUUUUAUCCUCAUGUGCAACCACUCUUUCCUGGAGUCCUCUAGUGAUGAAUUAUGAGUUAUAGAAGCUCCAAGGUGGGAGUACUGUGUGGAACACCCUGUUUUACCUUUAUAGCCCCUGCUGGGUAGGUGCCCCACUCCUCUCUAAGGCUUUCAGAUCUGUACUUCCUGGAAUGUUAUUUUGUUGUGGCUUGCAAUUCCUGGCCCUGGAGGCAUGUGGCCAGCACAGGCAUGAGCCAGUAUUCCAAGGUGUUAUGCCAUCACCAUCCACACAUAAGUAUCUGGAGUCCUGCAGGGUUCCGAUGUGUGCUGGUCAAUGUCCCCCUUUUGAGUCCAAUAAACCCUUUAUUCUCCCA